rfam:Beta vulgaris subsp. vulgaris Bvchr7.sca021.con0445.1, whole genome shotgun sequence.
GCCUCCAAGGAUGAUCGACAGUUUUCUGAAAUUUCCUUGUGGAAAAAAUUUGGAGACCUGAACUGAGGUUGC